GGGUGAUUAGCUCAGCUGGGAGAGCACCUCCCUUACAAGGAGGGGGUCGGCGGUUCGAUCCCCUCAUCACCCACCA
rnacentral:tRNA from 1 species